AAAAAGUUAUAUUCACCUCCUAUUCAUUGAAUCAAAAAUUGUGCACGUUUUCUUUGAAUUCUCACAUUUUCUUUACCGCCAAACAAAACGAAAACAAUAUGAAAGAUUGGUCUACCUUAAAAAUGAAGAUUAAACAAAGAGGAGGGUUUGGUGUUACCGUGGAUACAACUAGUUUCAAAGCUUCUGUUAAAUAGAAGACGUUGGUGGUGCUAAUAGAGGGAAGCCGACAAUAAAGGUAGUAGAGGAAAACCAACAGUGGUGGAAGAGGAAGACAAAGAGAAACUUUAACGGCGGGUGUCAAUCUAGGAGAGAAAGAAAAUAUCGUUUGAUUCAUAGAUUUUUUCUGAAAUUUAGGCUGACGUGCCAUUAUGCUGAUGUGGCAGAUGAAAUGGCAUCCGCCACAUCAGUCGGUGCAUUCUGUCGGUACCAUCCAUCGGUUGCGGUAGCAUUACUCAUAUAUUCAUGUAUCAAGACAUGAAGAUUGAUAUUGGAUACCUCACUCAAGUUCGUGAUUCCACUCUGAAAUUCAACUUUCAACGAAGAACACACUCUCUAAUCGCCACCCUUGUGUCGUUAGUUCAAAAUUCAUCAUUUUGGUGCUGAACCGUCGGAUUUUCUGGGUAUAGCCAUGAGGUUGAAGUCAGUGUUCCUCCUGCUGUGCUGUCCAUGUUUUCUGCUUCAAAAACAAUAUAGUUUGCUGCACCGGAAUUGACAAGCAAAGGUUGCACCAGUUUGCUUCUUCUGUUCCUAGUUGCAAGCCUCCUGAAGUUCACAAAGGCAACGGCAUAAUGUACAUUGAUGAAGUUGUCAAGAAGAAACAAGGAAAGAAGUCCAAAUGAUGGUGGAGGAGCCAGGUUCUGAUUUUCAAAAGUACUUUUGCAUCGUUACAUAGAUGGGUUAGCAAUGCCAUGUUCUGUAAAACUUAAUUCAUUCUCUGCAUAAAUUAGAGCGUCUUCAUGACUUAAGGCAUUUGAUAAUCUAAAGAGCUUCAAAA